ACAAAUGUUAAGAAAUAGAUGUACUGUAUAAAAUGCAUUAUAAAUUCAUCAAUAUAGAAUAACUACGGAUGGGUACACAUGUACUGUGGAGAUGAAACAUUUUGAUGGCACUGAUGGUUAUUUAAUAUUCCUUCAUCGAAAACAUUUAUUAAUAUUUAUGAGAUUACUUAAUAUGUACAGUAAUUUUAUUACAGCUACUGCUUGUAGUUCUGUGGUUCCUGAUGGUCACAAAUAGAGAAGCCUUCUCGAGUAGACCAGUGUAUCCCUUAUCCAGCAUCCAUAAUAUUUGGACUGCUGAAGAAUGACUGUCGUUUUUUUGUA